rnacentral:ncRNA from 1 species
GAGAGCCAAAUGAAUCGAAAGAUUCAUGUUUUGGUUCGGGAAGGGAUCAUGGAAGUUUUGCAAUGAAUGGAAAGAUAAUCUACUUUCAU